AUUCAUAGCAGCCUUAUUCAUAAUAGCAGAAUACUGGAAAUUACUCAAAUGUCCAACAAGAAAAGCAGGAACACUUACAGCAAGACAAAUGAAUCUCAAAAUGAUUAUAUUUUUAAAGGAUAACAUAUUGAGCUAAGUGAAAGAAUCCAGGCACAAGGACAUAUAUGUUAUAUGACUCCAUUUAUAUGAAAUUCUAUAACAUGCAAAGUUAAUCAAUAUUGAAAAAUAUCAGAAGAGUGGUUGUUUUGGGGGGUACAGGGAAAAUCUACUGGAAAGGGACACAAAAGAUCUUUCUGGGAUAAGGAAAAUGUUAUGUAUCUUAGUUGUAGUCAAGUACCAGAACUCAUUUAAUUAAAUACCUAUGAUUCUGUGCAUUUUUUUUUUAAGCAGAGUUUUCUUUUCUUUCUUUUUAUUUAUUUAUUUAUUUAUUUUUGGCUGCAUUGGGUCUUCAUUGCUGUGCACAAGCUUUCUCUAGUUGUGGCGAGCAGGGACUACUCUUUGUUGCGGUGCACGGGCUUCUCAUUGCGGUGGCUUCUCUUGUUGUGGAGCACGGGCUCUAGGCUGCAGGGUUCAUAGUUGUGGCUCGCGGGCUCUAGAGCACAGGCUCAGUAGUUGUGGUGCACAGGCUUAGUUGCUCUGCGGCAUCUUCCCUGACCAGGGCUCAAACCUGUGUCCCCUGCAUUGGCAGGCGGAUUCUUAACCACUGUGCCACCAGGGAAGCCCCAGUGUGACUUUUUAUCAGACCUCACCAUAGGCUUUGGCUACCUUUAUCUGAUUCUAUAACCAGCAGUGACACUGUUCUUUCAAUAAAUUUUUAGAGCACUGUAUUAGUUUCCCGUGGCUGCUAUAAUAAAUUACCACAAAUUGGUUGCUUAAAACAGCAGAAAUUUAUUCUUACAAUUCUGGGGUCCAGAAGUCAGAAAUCAAGGUGUCAGCCAGGCUGCACACCCUCCAGAGGCUGUAGGAAAUAAUCUACUCUUGGCUUCUUCCAGUUUCUGGUGGCUGCAGAUGUUCCUUGGCUUUGUCCACAUCAUUCCAAUCUCUCUCUGUAGUUACACUUCCACCUACUCUCUUAUAUUUGUCUACCUGAUCUCUUUCUGCCUCUUUCUUGUAAUUGCACUUAGGGCCCACACAGGUAAUCCAAAAUAAACUCCUCCUCUCAAGAUCCUUAAUUUACAUCUUUUGCCAUGUAAGGCAAGUCACAGGUUCCAGGGGUUAGGAUGUAAACAUGUAUUUUCGGUCACUGUUCAGUUCAAUGCAAGCACUUACUCUGCUGUGCUCUUAUUUGCCUAAAGGAAAAGAGCACCAAGACUGAAGCUAGAAGUUAUUGGUCUUUUUAUCAGCUUGGUCACUAGCUGUAUGACUCUGUGAAAGUUGUCUAACCUCUCUGGAUUUUAUCUCAUCUGUCAAAUGGGGUCAGGGUACCUGUCCUGAUGCCUCACAGGGCUGUGGUACAACUAGAAUGAGACUGCAGAUAUAAAAGUGCUCUCAGAGCAUAAGCCACUCUAUUGGUGUCAAAGAUGACUGGUGAUGAUGAAUUUGAUAUUCAUAUGGAUCAGGAGAAAAAUAUAUAAAUAUACAGUCACAAUAUAAGGUUAUGGGGAAAUAAACAGGUCUAAAAUUCCUUGAGGGCAUACAAAAGGAGCUGAAGGGAACUAUUCACUGUGGUUAUUUCUGGAUGGUGGGAUUAUUAGUGAUUUCCUUGUACCUGUCUAUAUGUUCCAAAUCCUUUAUAAUAAGCACACAAUACGUUUAUGAUCCUUACUUCCUAGGGUUGUUUACUAAAUAACUUAUGUUCAGUACUUCACAUAGUACUCGAUGUGAGUUUUUAUAAAUCCUCAAUAUAAAGGCAGAUUAAUCUGAUGUUAUAAGAAAAUGCAAAAGUCUGGAUUUUAACAAAGCAGCUGAUAUGUCACCCUAUCAUGAGCCCAAAUAUACAAAACACAGAUAGAAUUAGAGGUACUGAGUAAUGGUCACAGUCAAUUUAGGACAUUUCUAAUGUAAUUUCAAAAGGUUCCACCUCUAGGCAGAUUUUUUUUUGCUUGUUUGUUUUGUUUUGGCUACACCACGAGGCAUGCAGGAUCUUAGUUCCCUCACCAGGGAUCGAACCCAGGUCCCGGCAGUGAAAGCGCUGAGCUCUAACCACUGGACUGCCAGGGAAUUCCCCAAUUCUAGACAUUUCUUAUUCAAAAUACUCAUUUUACAAUAUGAACAAUAUGCUUGUCAAGUUCACAAACAACAUCAAGGAGUUGAAUAAAGAACAUCUGAAAAGACAAAGCAUGAACCAAAAAGAACACCAACAGGUUAGAAUAAUGUGCUCUCAUCACUGUGAACUAGACUAGAAAAUACCCCAUUCAUACUACCUCGUAUCUGGGCAUGCUCUUUGAUAAUACCAAGAUAUCUUGAAACCUCAUUGAAAAUAGCAGAGAAUCAACACUUCCAACCCAAAAUGGGGGGUUUUACAACUUCAGAAUGAGAGGCUAAGACUAUAACUGUCAUUUCUCAAAGACGACAUUGCACUGGCAACCUCUUUUCUAAUUUAGAAUCCAUGUGGUUGAAGCCCACAUGGUCCUUGGCCAUGAAAAUGGUUACAAAUUUUGAAAAUGACAUGCCAGCAAAUUUCUGCAAACCCAGUAAUAAAAAAUGAAAAAAUAAGCCACACCAAUUCUGGACCAUGUCCUUAUAACUCUAUCUCUUUUGAGGAGACUCAUAGGCAAUGUCAGUAUCUUUUAAGGGAACUUUAUAGAUUAGUUGGGGGGAGGACACUAUCAGGAUCCCUUUCUUCUAGAUUUAGUUUAAAAGAGAAGACAUGCAACAAAAACCUCACAGUCAUUUUGGAAUGGAGCAUAUUUAAAAGUAUACCCAGAUGAAGCUUAAAACCAUUAUGCUAAGUGAAAUAAGCCAGUUAUGAAAGGACAAAUAUUGUGUUAAACCAUUUAUAAGGUACCUAGAAUAGUCAAAUGCAUAGAAACAGAAAAGGGAAUAACGGUUCCCAGGGUGCUGGGGAAAGAGGGAAAGGAGAUUGUUUAUUAAUGUAUUUAGAGUUUCAGUAUGAGAAGGUGAAAAAGUUGAUGGUGGUAAUGUUUGCAUAACAAUGUGAAUGCACCUAAUGCCACUGAACUAUACACUUAAAAAUGAUUAAAAUGGUAUUAUGUUAUGUAUUACUUUACCACAACAUUUAAAAAAAAAAAUGAAACUAGGAAAAAGUGUAACCAACUCGACAGAAUUAUCGUAUGACUCAGUGAUUCUACUCCUAGAUAUAUACCCCAAAUAAUUUAAAAUACUCAAAUAUUUGUACACAAUUGUUCAUAUCAGCACUAUUUACAAUAUCCAGAAGGUAGAAAUAGGCCAUAUGCCCAUCAACAGAUAAAUAAAAGAAACAAAAUUGGUAUAGCCAUACAAUGGACUAUCAUUCAGUCACAAAAAGGAAUGAAGUAAUGAUACACACCGCCACGUGGAUAAACCUCAAAAAUGUGAAAUGAAGCAGAUUGGUUGCCUGGGUCUAUGGGGAGGGGAAAUUGGGAGCUACUGCUUAAUGGGUAUAGGAUUUUCUUUCAGAGUUGAUAAAAAUCACUUAAUUGUAUACUUUAAAAUGAUUUAUUUUAUGUUAUGUGAUUUUUACCUCAAUUUUUAAAAA